rnacentral:rRNA from 1 species
CGUCGAGCUACUACGGUAGUGAAGUCAUUGAUGCCAUGCUUCCAGGAAAAGCCUCUAAGCUUCAGAUUGUAAGGAAUCGUACCCCAAACCGACACAGGUGGUCGGGUAGAGAAUACCAAGGCGCUUGAGAGAACUCGGGUGAAGGAACUAGGCAAAAUGGUACCGUAACUUCGGGAGAAGGUACGCUCUUGAUGGUGAAGUCCCUUGCGGAUGGAGCUGACGAGAGUCGCAGAUACCAGGUGGCUGCAACUGUUUAUUAAAAACACAGCACUGUGCAAAAUCGUAAGAUGACGUAUACGGUGUGACGCCUGCCCGGUGCCGGAAGGUUAAUUGAUGGGGUUAGCGUAAGCGAAGCUCUUGAUCGAAGCCCCGGUAAACGGCGGCCGUAACUAUAACGGUCCUAAGGUAGCGAAAUUCCUUGUCGGGUAAGUUCCGACCUGCACGAAUGGCGUAAUGAUGGCCACGCUGUCUCCACCCGAGACUCAGUGAAAUUGAAAUCGCUGUGAAGAUGCAGUGUACCCGCGGCUAGACGGAAAGACCCCGUGAACCUUUACUACAGCUUGGCACUGAACAUUGAACCUACAUGUGUAGGAUAGGUGGGAGGCUUUGAAGACGUGACGCCAGUUGCGUUGGAGCCGUCCUUGAAAUACCACCCUUGUAUGUUUGAUGUUCUAACGUUGGCCCCUAAUCGGGGUUGCGGACAGUGCCUGGUGGGUAGUUUGACUGGGGCGGUCUCCUCCCAAAGAGUAACGGAGGAGCACGAAGGUGGGCUAAUCACGGUUGGACAUCGUGAGGUUAGUGCAAUGGCAUAAGCCCGCUUAACUGCGAGAAUGACG